GACGAACGCUGGCGGCGUGCUUAACACAUGCAAGUCGUACGGUAAGGCCCUUUCGGGGGUACACGAGUGGCGAACGGGUGAGUAACACGUGAGUAACCUGCCCACAACUUUGGGAUAACGCUAGGAAACUGGUGCUAAUACUGGAUAUGUGCUCCUGCUGCAUGGUGGGGGUUGGAAAGCUCCGGCGGUUGUGGAUGGACUCGCGGCCUAUCAGCUUGUUGGUGGGGUAGUGGCCUACCAAGGCGGCGACGGGUAGCCGGCCUGAGAGGGUGACCGGCCACAUUGGGACUGAGAUACGGCCCAGACUCCUACGGGAGGCAGCAGUGGGGAAUAUUGCACAAUGGGCGAAAGCCUGAUGCAGCAACGCCGCGUGCGGGAUGACGGCCUUCGGGUUGUAAACCGCUUUCAGCAGGGACGAAGCUUUUUGUGACGGUACCUGCAGAAGAAGCACCGGCUAACUACG
rnacentral:rRNA from 1 species